rnacentral:siRNA from 1 species
UCUAUGGUCAAAAUGUGUCACAAU